ACACUGCCUUUGCCGGUCCCAAGCCCGGAUGAGAAAAUGUGGAGGGAACUGCAUCGUUUCCAUUAGAACUUGCAUGGUCUUGAAAUAUUUUAAUUUGAGUGACAGGGAAUGAAGGGUGUAGAAGUUACUGUCGUUAAUGUCCUAAUCAAACAGUGAAUCAUAGCAUAAUGUGGUAAGCAUAUGAUUCAAGCUUUGAAUGCAUCCUUGCUUGAUAAAAAAGCUAUGCAACUUUAAUGGUAGUUAGAGCUUACCUUGAGGAACUUACUUGCUGCCUUUCUGAAGCUACACAAGAUGUUCUUACGAUCCCAAAGGGGAGUGAGCGUCCUCGUGUAGUGUUCUUUAGACCGUCCACACGAGCGCUUGUGUACGAGGAACCCCCCGGUUCUCUUGCUCGGCUAUGGGCUGACAACACUUGAAAUUAACAAGUGUUAAUUAUGGGGUAACCUCUCUUUAUAACUGCCACUUCUUUUGAAGAGAUGCCUCUUCCUCACAUCUCUUCUCCUUGCAUAUAUACAUACAAUCAUCUAAUGAAAAAGACAGUCGAUUCAUAACAGGACAAAGCUGGAAACGGCACAACACUCGACCGGUGAAGCCACAGCCCGGCAAUGACGCCCCAUUGCUACAGGAUAAAGGUGCUUCUUUUCCAAUUUGAUCUUGUAUAUUUACUCCUUUCGUUCUAAAAUAAAUGACUCAACUUUACAUUAAUUUUAUAUUAAAAUUAGUAUAAAAUUAAGUCAUUUAUUUUAAGACGGAGGAAGUACAUGCUAAUCAUGAUUAAUACCUCUGGCACUCCCGUGCACGCAUAUGCUGCCCUCUGCCAUGCGACAACGUAGAGUCUUCGGCGAAUAGGCGGCCGAUUGAAACUUGUUGCGUGGCACAACGGCUAUUCUCGCGGCCCGGGCAUUGAACCGGCCAGAGGGCGACGCAGCCCUCGGCUUGCAUCAGCGUGGCGCGACGGCUUUGGGUGCGGCUUCUCAUGGCACUCCCUCCUGCACAGCCGUGACCGCGUCUGCACCUAGCAAACAACUCUCGGCCUUCAACCGCGACGCGGCCCUAGGCAAAUGACCGCACAGAUCGGCGACGCUCGAGGCAACGGCCCCCCUUCGACACGUGUGUGGCGACGACACCGAUGGUCGAAACAUUGCUUUCGGCAUCGGAGGCGAUUGCUCCCUCCGGCGUGGUUCCCCGCGGCGAAGACAUCGGGGCCAUAGACUCAGCCUUGGCCGUCGAGCNNN
rnacentral:lncRNA from 1 species